CGGGACGUAGUUCAGCCAGGUAGAACGCUGGUCUGGGGGAUCAGAGGCCCGCAGGUUCGAAUCCUGUCGUCCCGAC
rnacentral:tRNA from 1 species